UGAGGAAUAUUGGACAAUGGGCGCAAGCCUGAACCAGCCAUCCCGCGUGAAGGAAGAAGGCGCUAUGCGUUGUAAACUUCUUUUCCAGGGGAAUAAAAUCCCGAACGAGUUCGGGACUGAAGGUACCCUGGGAAUAAGCACCGGCAAACUCCGUGCCAGCAGCCGCGGGAAUACGGAGGAUGCGAGCGUUAUCCGGAUUUAUUGGGUUUAAAGGGUGCAUAGGCGGAGUAAUAAGUCAGUGGUGAAAUACUGCAGCUUAACUGUAGAAUUGCCGUUGAUACUGU
rnacentral:rRNA from 1 species